AUACCUGGAUGUCCUUUUAUAAUAUAUAUCUAUGUAUCUUUAGUACCUUGGUCUCCCCUGAUUAUGUUGGAGAGUGUGGUUUUGGUUUUGAGGAAGUAACUUAAACAUAUCGAGAACUUGUAGUAGUAGAUUGAACCUAAGCUAUUCUACAUUGUUUUGGCAUGAUACUUAGUAUUCUUGUUUGAAAUAACAGGAGGAAGGAUGUUGUAUCUUUCUUGGGUAAGUUGGCCAAUGAAGGGAAGGAUGUUGUAUCUUUUUUGGGUAAAACCUCGGAAGUACAGCAUAUACAGAGAGAGGCUGUCGUGGCAAUUUCUGCAUAAGUUAUGCAAAUGAGAGGUUGCAACGACAUUUCAACUGGCAUCUGUUAAAACUGGAGCAGGAAGUGAGCAUCACACAUGGACCGUAUCUUUAGUAGUUUUGUUUAGUAUUUAUAUGCUGGGGAUUGUCGCUAAAAGCAUGAUAUUCUUUUUUGAUUCAUUUUUGUCGUCAUUAUUUAUUAUGCAAGAUUAUUUAUUCUCUCAUUAUGUGUACUAUAAAAAAAAAUAUUUAUGUCAUUCUUGUGGAAAACGUUGAUAAAUGUAUUUCAUUUUCAUAUUAUUAUAAUAUUUUGACAUUAA